CGCGUAGGUGGCUUGGUUAGUCCGACGUGAAGUGUACCGGUUCAACCGGGGGCACUGUGGCGGAAACUGCCGAGCUUGAGGCCGAGGGGAGGAAGGUGGAAUUCCUGGUGUAGCGGUGAAAUGCGUAGAUAUCAGGAGGAACACCCGUGGCGAAGGCGACCUUCUAUCUCGGAUCUGACACUGAGGCGCGAAAGCCAAGGGGGAGCAAACGG
rnacentral:rRNA from 1 species